AGCGAACGCUGGCGGCGUACCUAACACAUGCAAGUCGAACGAGGAUCACGGUGUGAGCAAUCAUAUUGUGGUCCUAGUGGCGCACGGGUGAGUAACACGUGGGUAACCUGCCCUCGAGACCGGGAUACCCCCUCGAAGGGGGGACGUAAUACCGGAUACGUUCCCCGGGUCCGACAGAUCUGGGGAGGAAAGGUGGCGCAAGCUGCCGCUCAUGGAGGGGCUCGCGGCCUAUCAGCUAGUGGCGGGGUAACGGCCCACCAAGGCUAUGACGGGUAGCUGGUCUGAGAGGACG
rnacentral:rRNA from 1 species